AUUUAUAUAUCUAAUUCUCAUAACUAUGCAUGCAUUUAAUUUUGGGCAAAAUCUAUGCCACAAGUUAACUUUUGGCUUAAAUUCUAGUUAUAUAUUAAUAUUAAAUGUUCCAAUAAUGUGUAAUAUUGUUAGUGUGAAUUGUGUUCAAAUAGGUACAUACAAUAUAGUUUGUAAUAAAAUGUUACAAUUUCCAACUAUUUUCCUACGAUUUUUUCUCCCUUCUCGAAUAUAUUAUUGAUAUACUUUCAGUGCUCAUUUAGUCGUUGCCACGUGUUCAUUACCAAUUGGACCUCUAUCACUUGGUAUGGACUUGUGUUUGUUUUGGUCCUAUUAUAUAUAUAUAUAUAUAUAUAUAUAUCAUCUUUACUCUUUCAUUUAAUUUAGUUACAAUGCGAUAGUGUGAAAAUUUCAGGUGAUAAAAAUAUUAUUUAUUCCAAAAUAAACAUUAGAGAACUGUACGUGUUUGCUCUAAUUCUUAAAUCCUAACUUUGAGAACAGCUGAAGAAUAAAUAGAGAACAUAAAUUUCAUAAACAAUGAGAAUUGUUCUAUGUGGAUAAGAAAGUCAUGAAAUUUACUUUGAUGGGGCACCUUGGUUCUUAAUACCACAUAUAUGAACAUUGGUGUAAUUAACAUAAUAUCUUAUAUAUUUAAAUUUAAUUUUAAAUAUAUGAGAUCUGAUAAUAAAUUACACGAGUAUGUAUCACUACAAAAAAAAGGUUCUAUACCGAGAACACUAUACCGACAACAUGUCCUCGGUAUAGACAUUUCAUAUGCGCGGGACAUUUUCGCGGUUUUGAAUAGGUUUAGUUGUUAUACCGAGAACCUAUACCGAGAACAUGUUCUCGGUAGAAGGUUUAUAAAUAUACCCCACAGCCGCGAAGCCCCUUCUCCUUCCUCUCUGGUUUCUCUCGGUUUUCUCCGAGCCGUCUGCCUCCCUCCUCCGUUUUCCUCCCAAAAAGCUCGGUUUUAAGCCUCAAAAUUGCCAAGGAUGAAGGGAUUUCUGUGUAUUUGUUGAAGGUUGGGUAUUCGGUUUUUGUUGGACUAAAGAGAUUGCUAGCAAGAUAUUGAAGGCAUUGGACACACAUGUGGAUUAAUUUGACCGUCAGAUAUCUCAGCUGAUUGUGAACGAGCGCCUCCAAAUAAACGUGGACGCCAUAAAGGAUUGAACACGCGGGAAAAGAGGGAACAGUUGGGGCGUCCUCUCCCUCUCGAGUGGGAUGUGCAGGGGAGAACAUAUAAAGAGAUCGAAGAGUACAGCUCAAAUUUCUCAAGAGAGCUCGGAUUACUUGUUCGACAGUACACAGAUCCGGACUGUCCUCAAUGGUCAAAAGUACCAAAUGUCUCGAAAGAAAGAAUACUUGCACAUUUGGAAAAACGUUCUGUGAUCAACAAGGAAAAUAGAAGGAAACUGAAAGAGCUUAGCUAUGGAGGUUCUCAGUCAAUCCCAGCCCUACACUAUAAAAAGCGCAAUUUAGAGACUGGGCAACUUGAGUCCAUCCCGGAUAGCUGGAUGGAUACUCACCAUAAAUCAGGCACAGGGUGGGUGACAGAGACAGCAAAAAAUACUUUGGAGGAAUUGCGUGCAUACCGCGACACACAGCAGACACAGGCAACUGAUACUGAGAGUUCCACACCAGUUUCGAGUGCGCCUGAAGAUGAAGACAUAUCUUUGGUACAAACUGUCUUCGGAAAACGACGGGGCCACCAGAAAGGAUAUGGACAUAUCCUUAACAUAAGGGGCCGAACUCCAUUUGAUUUUCGUCCUUCACAAACUAGAGAUGAAGAGUUGUCUGAGAUGAGAGAGCGUCUUCGACAGUUAGAGGAGCAUGUCCGGACUCAUUGUAUCACCCCGGGAUCUCAAUGUGCCCCACCACCACCCGAUGAUCCCGAUGUUGGAGCACCGACUCAGUAGGACUUAUGUAUGAAUUUUAUUACAAUUGACUAUUACAUUAUCAUGUUUAAGACAAUUCUUUAUUUUGAUUCAGCGAACAUACUCUUAUGUUUUUAUUUA